AUGGGCUUGCAACUAGGGAAAAAGGUUGAGCCCCAGUUGCGAGUCGACGGUGGACUUGCAUCUGGGACAAAAAAUGUGAAGUCCCAGUUGCAAGUCAAGAACGUACUUGCAACUGGGACAAAAGAUGGUCGGACCCUAGUUGCGAGUCGAGAGUGGACUUGCAACUGGGACAAAAUGAUCAGGUUCCAGUUGCGAGUCGAGGGUGGCUUGCAACUUGGACAAAAAAUGAUCAAGCGCCAAUUGCGAGUCGAGGGGACAAAAGCGAAGACUAACAUGCCUAGGCCAACAACAAGAUACGCAAAAAACAAAUAG
rnacentral:rRNA from 1 species